UGGAGAUGAGUGUGCAGGGGUAUGUGGAGAGCUCUUGGGAAUAGCACCUUUAAAAAGCCAACAUGAACAGAGGAUUGGAAAGAGUGAAAGAGUAAUACAUCAGGAGUAGAUGUUUGCAGCAUGCUGAGUUUGACCAAAACCAAAGCCGAGGCUGUCUAUUGGACGGGUACAGUUUCUGCUACAAGGCAUUUUGGAAACCACAGCAACAUGACCACCCCGAACUAAAAAUAAAAUCCACGUACACUUUCCGAUGAUGGCCCCACAUCUAAGCAUCUACCCAUUUUCCCAGCCAGGGAAGGAUGCGUGAUUUACGAGAAACCACAGAAACACUGGGAUCACUGCAUUGUAAAAUAAAACGUGUUCUUCA